rnacentral:rRNA from 1 species
ACCAGUUGAUCCUGCUGGAGGCGACCCCUAUCGGGCUCCGGCUAAGCUAUGCAAGUCUACCAGCGGGGGGCGGCCCGCUGGUGGCGCACGGCUCCGUAAUACACGGUCAAUCUACCCUCGGGACCGGGAUAUCCCCGGGAAACUGGGGGUAAUCCCGGAUAGCAGUAGGGUGCUGGAAUGCCCCUACUGUGAAAGUAGCCUGGCCCCUGCCAGGUGAUGCCCGAGGAUGAGACCGUGGCCGAUCAGGUAGUUGGUGGGGUAACGGCCCACCAAGCCGAUAACCGGUACGGGCUGUGAGAGCAGGAGCCCGGAGAUGGGCACUGAGACAAGGGCCCAAGCCCUACGGGGCGUAGCAAGCGCGAAAACUCCGCAAUGCGCGAAAGCGCGACGGGGGGAGCCCGAGUGCCCCCCGAAGAGGGGGGCUGUCGCCGGAUGUAAAAAGUCCGGUAUAGGAAGGGGAGGGUAAGGCUGGUGCCAGCCGCCGCGGUAAAACCAGCUCCCCGAGGGGUCGCCACGCAUACUGGGCUUAAAGCGUCCGUAGCCCGCCUAGCAAGUCCCCGGUUAAAUCCGCCAGAAGACUGGCGGGCCGCCGGGGAUACUGCUAGGC